rnacentral:rRNA from 1 species
GAAAGCAGGGGAUCUUCGGACCUUGCGCUAAUAGAUGAGCCUAAGUCGGAUUAGCUAGUUGGUGGGGUAAAGGCCUACCAAGGCGACGAUCUGUAGCGGGUCUGAGAGGAUGAUCCGCCACACUGGGACUGAGACACGGCCCAGACUCCUACGGGAGGCAGCAGUGGGGAAUAUUGGACAAUGGGCGGAAGCCUGAUCCAGCCAUGCCGCGUGUGUGAAGAAGGCCUUUUGGUUGUAAAGCACUUUAAGCGAGGAGGAGGCUCCUUUAGUUAAUACCUAAAGAGAGUGGACGUUACUCGCAGAAUAAGCACCGGCUAACUCUGUGCCAGCAGCCGCGGUAAUACAGAGGGUGCGAGCGUUAAUCGGAUUUACUGGGCGUAAAGCGUGCGUAGGCGGCUUUUUAAGUCGGAUGUGAAAUCCCUGAGCUUAACUUAGGAAUUGCAUUCGAUACUGGAAAGCUAGAGUAUGGGAGAGGAUGGUAGAAUUCCAGGUGUAGCGGUGAAAUGCGUAGAGAUCUGGAGGANAUACCGAUGGCGAAGGCAGCCAUCUGGCCUAAUACUGACGCUGAGGUACGAAAGCAUGGGGAGCAAACAGGAUUAGAUACCCUGGUAGUCCAUGCCGUAAACGAUGUCUACUAGCCGUUGGGGCCUUUGAGGCUUUAGUGGCGCAGCUAACGCGAUAAGUAGACCGCCUGGGGANGNNUANCGGUCGCAAGACUAAAACUCAAAUGAAUUGACGGGGGCCCGCACAAGCGGUGGAGCAUGUGGUUUAAUUCGAUGCAACGCGAAGAACCUUACCUGGCCUUGACAUACUAAGAACUUUCCAGAGAUGGAUUGGUGCCUUCGGGAACUUAGAUACAGGUGCUGCAUGGCUGUCGUCAGCUCGUGUCGUGAGAUGUUGGGUUAAGUCCCGCAACGAGCGCAACCCUUUUCCUUAUUUGCCAGCGGGUUAAGCCGGGAACUUUAAGGAUACUGCCAGUGACAAACUGGAGGAAGGCGGGGACGACGUCAAGUCAUCAUGGCCCUUACGGCCAGGGCUACACACGUGCUACAACGGUCGGUACAAAGGGUUGCUACCUCGCGAGAGGAUGCUAAUCUCAAAAAGCCGAUCGUAGUCCGGAUCGCAGUCUGCAACUCGACCGCGUGAAGUCGGAAUCGCUAGUAAUCGCGGAUCAGAAUGCCGCGGUGAAUACGUUCCCGGGCCUUGUACACACCGCCCGUCACACCAUGGG